GAUGAUGAUGACUCCAAGAGUCAAGAUAAGAUUGAGGGAGCAUUUGGCAGGCAGCGGACGACCACUGCAACGGUUGUGGUGGUGGGGGCUGCUGGGGGUUCAGGUGUCUCCUCUGGCAUUCAGGAUCUAAGUGCUUCCAGUGGUCAAACAGCAGGGGGAAGAACACAUGAAGGAACAGCAGGAAGCUCAGCAGGUUCUGCAGCAGCUGAGAUCUCUGAUGUCUCCACAGCUUUGAUCCAUUCUGCAGGAGCCAAGCACUCUACUGCUUUAUCUCACACAGAAACAAAUGGUUCUGCAGGAGCUGGCUCAGAGACCAACAGUAAUGGACAGAAGCUCCUGAAUGGAGGAGGAGGGGGUGG